UACGAAGGGGGCUAGCGUUGCUCGGAAUCACUGGGCGUAAAGCGCACGUAGGCGGAUCGUUAAGUCAGGGGUGAAAUCCUGGAGCUCAACUCCAGAACUGCCUUUGAUACUGGAGAGCUUGAGUCCGGGAGAGGUGAGUGGAACUCCGAGUGUAGAGGUGAAAUUCGUAGAUAUUCGGAAGAACACCAGUGGCGAAGGCGGCUCACUGGCCCGGUACUGACGCUGAGGUGCGAAAGCGUGGGGAGCAAACAGG
rnacentral:rRNA from 1 species